GCUAGCAUAAUCUUCAAUUUUAUAACAUGACAGGAGGCUUCGUAUUUGCAGUUUUAACGCUUAGGUAGAAGAGCGAAAGCGGCAUUGGACGACAGGCGAAAAUAGAAGGUCCGAAAGGUAGAUUCCCGGGACCAAUCUGCCGUGUGUAGGAUAUCCGCCAGAGACGCGCCUGCUAAAAAUGCCGAUGAUGCCGCUGCCCCUCGAACGGAGUGUGCACCAAAUGAGGCGUCUACCCCGGCUAGGGCGAGAAUCCAUCUGACCCAUCUGGCCAAUGUGAUGACCGAGACCGGGCCGUGUGGAGUCACAUAUGAUACCAAAAGUUGUCGUGC